UCUUAUAGUACAUAUCACAUGACAUUGGAAAAAAUAAUAUUCAAGGCUGAAAAAGUAUAGCAAAAGGAUCAAUAUGAAUACUGAAAUAUUAAUAUUGAUGAUGGCACUGGAAAUUAAAAGGUGCAUGCAGAGAUGAGAUUGCUCAGCGUGCAUCUCGGGGCACAUGACCUUGGAUCCAAUUAACAGCGAGGACUGUGCUAUUGAUCACGAGCAUCUC
rnacentral:lncRNA from 1 species